GCCCGCUGCAGGCGGCUGGUGGUCCAGGGAAGCGGCGUCGACUGCGUGCAAAACAACCGCCGCCAACGCAACUCCACACCUCCCAGACCCACACGUCAAAGAACGCGAACCCCGCGGCCCCAACUUCUGGCCUCUCCGCUCCGGCGCCUGCAGCCCCGCGGGGAAGGGGCGACGCGAGGGGGCGCAGGGACAGCCCCGCACCUGGGAGGCCCGAGGGGGCGCCCGGGAGGGAGGGGCUGCAAACGGCGGCGAGCGCGCGCGGCAACCGCCAAACGCCCGCCUUUGUAGCCCCGGCCCCGCGUCCUUACCCUGCCGACGGCUGCUCGGCUCCGGCCCGCGGCGGCGGCCCCAGAGCCGAGGACCGGGGUGGGCUCGCGCUCUUCGUCACUGGAGAAGUCCGGGGGCCCCUUGCUGUUGGUGCCGGCGGGGAGCGGCGGCCGGUUGCGAGCCGUGAGGUGCUGCAGGUAGAGCUGGACGUACACGUCUUUGCGCUGCUCCCCGGCCGGCAGCGUCACAUUGUUGGCGACCAACUCACUCUUCAACUUGUCUUUUGUCAGGACCGAGGGGUCUUCCAGGAACUCCGGCAUCUCGGGGAUCUGCGAAGCCCCCUCCCCACAGCCUUUGCCGCCGCCGCUCACGCCGGCGCGCUUGCUCCUGGCCGGGGACCGCGCUGCCGCCUCCGAGCCUCACGGCUCCUGCCCGGGAAGAGCGCUGCGGAGCGGAACAAAAACUCGCGGACACAAAGCCAAGCCAGACCCGGACACAAAAGACCCCAGAGCCGAACUACGAACCAACUGCGGCCAAGCUGGAAGCUCGCACCAACCCCAGCCCACACACUACAGGCAGGAGGCGAGCAGCCUGCUUCGCCCACGCCCCAAGAACGCGCGCCGCCAUUGGCGGGCGACGGGAGGAAGCGCGGCGGUGAUUGGCGAGACGGCUCGCGCGGGUUCCAUUAGCCGCCGCGCUGAGCGAGAGGAGGUAGAAACGCAGUUUAAAAGGCGCUGGGGCGGGAGCCGAGGCUCCCGGCCCGCUUCUGUUUUCGUUUUCUCCACCCUUCCCCUUAGACGCCGAUAAGGGACAGGUCGUACUGCUUUUGUGCGCCGUUUCCUCUCCCUCCCCCAGCUUGAGAAGCAGCUUUCGUCUCUGGGGUCGAUCGCCUACGAACGCGCCGAAUUCCACGCCAGUGUGAGGACCCUUGGCUGGGCCUUUCUUCCUCCCGGGACACUGAAGCUCCAAGAGUAGCCGCAGCCUUGCCUUCCCCAAACGCUAGCCCUGAAGGGGAAGAAAAGAAGCGAGGCUUGUCUGCAGGCACUCAUAUUCCUUGAUUUGAUUUACUUUGGGAGGGGGAGGGCGGGGAGUUACCCCUCUCCUCGCGAACGCUUCUUUUGUUCCAGAAACCCAGGGGAAGCCAGACCUCUACAAUCGGGCACUUAAAUUACCCUUGAAUUUGUGACAAAAGUGUACUAUACCAUUCACUUCUUAGUGUCAUAGUUGGGGCAUGUCUAAAUUGUUUAAUUUGAACAGUGCGUUCAGACGCAAGACAAAUUCGCGCUUGCAUUUUUGUUGAAACCGUCUCUGGCUUUGGAUCCCACCACCCGCAAGAAUCCUAAACCUAACGUUUGAUAACAAAACGAAGGAGAACCCUUGGGAACCCCCUCAAUGGUCAAUUUAAAAUAACAGAUGGUGCAUAAUCCUAAAGGAAGACUAGUGACCUAUAAUUAGGCCUAGAACCCUAAUCAAACCCGUAUUACCGAUCCAAAUUAAAACCUGGUAGAAUCUAAUACAUUGACUGCAAUUAAAAUGUUUGCCUGGAAAUUAGUAUCACUGAUGACAAAUAUUUGUAUUUCUGAUGAAUAUGUAUGUUUAAAGAUGCUUUCUUUCUAGAAAGGAAAGGAGACCUUGGAUGUAGGGUGUGUUAAUCAUUUCCCCAGAAUCUGAGCUCCAAACUAUGUUUUAGAAACUGGUUAAAUUUUUUUUAAAUGUUUGCCUGCUUUCUACAUUGCUAGGUUAGAAUACAUUUAAAACAAACGCCUUCACUAAAAAUGUUUCCUAUGAUUUAAGCGACUUACUUUUAUUCAAAUUGCGAUAUUAUUUCUUUUAGUGAUAAUUAUUUUCCUAGAGGUAACUAAUUCCUUUAUAAAAAUCUCAGUAUUCACAUACAUUUAAGCAAUGGUAUUAAGCUCAAUAAUGCAAAUUAAAAAUCAGGUUUUAAUUAGCAAGUUGUUAGGUAGGUUUUUAUGAUCCCUUGUAAAAGUUGCUUGGUUUUUUGUCCUCACAGCUUCCCUGGACACAUAGGCAAAUGUUUUUAUCUUCAGAAGGGGAACUGAGCUGAGAGGCAAAGGACCAUGACUUUGCAAUGACUGGUAACCCAGUACGUAUAAUGCAAGAACUGCAUUCUAGAUACGCCUGAAAUUAAUGUUUCCUGGGCAAAAACAUUUUCAUUAUCUUUUUUUUAAUCCCUGGACAUUAGCUACAGGUGGUUACUUGCAGAUUUACUGCUGUAGAGCUCCAAAAUUGAGAUUACACUUUUCAGAUUCUGCGUACCCUAAGGCUAAGAGGUUGGGCUAUUGAGUUUGGGUGGUCUCUUUGGUCCUGAUUGCUACUUCCAAACCAUUUCUGCUCUUUUCUGCUUCAAAAAUAUUUGAAGUUCAUAUCUUCUGGCUAAAUCACUUUCUACUCUCCUUCCUGCCAUCAUCCACGAGCCUCCUGGUCACUUUCCAGAAAUUAUAGAGCUGCUUGCCGUAGGUUUUCCUCACCAUCCCUCUUGUCUACAUUCUAUCUGAAUUCAGCAUGCUUGUAGGUGACCCAUGCAACACCAACACUUGGCCUCUUAGACCUCUGACCUCUUCAUCUCCAACAAUUUGUUCCUCUCUUGCGUCUUAACCACUUCGGUAUCAGUCAGAUUCUGAACCUUGUCAUCAGUUGAAAUCUCAGUUUCAAGCUUCCCAAUUGUCAAUCACUAGCCUUUUUUUCCCAGCUAAUUUAUGGUACUCUCACUUACCUAAUUAAGACCUCCACGCUAUUAACCCCAACACUUAAAAAAACUCAACUCUUCUGCUUCUGCCAUCAUGUAAUAAUUUUGCAACUCACCUGACUUAAAUUCCCUGAUCAGUCCUUUUCAUCACUCUUUUACAAACAUUUUCAACUCUCUGAUCUCAAUGUCUCCUUUUUUGCUUGAAAGAAUCUCAGCCUUGCUUGGACUAAACCAUGCUCCAGCUGAACUUUCUCAUUGCUUACAUCCAAACAGCAAAAGCUGCUGGAGAAAAGUCAGUCAUAUAACAAGCUAACUGGUUUUAAUUCAUGACCUCAGUCCUCUCAGGAGCACUCAACACUGGCUGGCAAUGCUAUUCCAGUCUCUGGGUUAACCAUUCAUACGUUCACAUCUCCUCAAAUUUCACAUCCUUUUUCCCUACCUCUCAUUUUUAGCUGGUGACCUUGCCUCAACUUCAAAAAAUAAAAACCACCUAUGAGGAAUGCUUCAACGUCAGACUUUCCAAUUUGCAUUCAUUUUCUCUUGCAUUUUUCUUUUCAGUGAAAGAUGUGUCCUGUCAGAAGGAAAUUCCACCACUUGUACUCUGGCUCUCACCCUUCUCAAGGAAUUGACUCUUUCCAUCAUCUCCUUAAUACUUGUUUCAACAUAAAAGAUAAUUUUUAAAAUAUUUGAUCAAUGUGACACAAAAAACACAAAGGCUGAGCACUGUGGCUCACGCCUGUAAUCCCAACACUUUGGGAGGCUGAGACAGGCGGAUCCCUUGAGCUUAGGAGUUCAAGACUAGCCUGGGCAAAACAGUAAAACCCCCUCUCUACAAAAAAAUACAAAAUUUAGCCAUGGUGCCCACCUGUAGUUCUAGCUACUAGGGAGACUGAGGUUCAAGCAAUUCUCCUUGCCCCAGCCUCCAGAGUAGCUGGGACUACAGGCGCCUGCUAAUACACUCAUCUAAUUUGUUUGUAUUUUAGUAGAGACUGGGUUUCACCAUGUUGACCAGGCUGGUCUUGAACUCCUGACCUCAGGUGAUCCACCCGCCUCAGCCUCCCAAAGUUCUGGGAUUACAGGCAUGAGCCACUGUGCCUGGUGGAUGCAAAUUUUUUUUUUUUUUUUUUUGGAAAUGGAGUCUCCCUCUGUUGCCGAGCCUGGAGUGCAGUAGCACAAUCUCAGCCCACUGUAACCUCUGCCUCCCAGGUUCAAGCAAUUCUUCUGCCUCAGCCUCCCAAGUAGCUGGGAUUACAGGCGCCUGCUGCCACGCCCAGCUAAUUUUUUUGUAAUAUAGUAGAGACAAGAGUUUCACCAUGUUGACCAGGCUGGUCUCAAACUCCUGACCUCAGGCAAUCCACCCGCCUCAGCCUCCCAAAUUGCUGGGAUUACAGGCAUGAGCCACUGCGUCUGGCCUGAUGCAAUUUUUUUUUUUUUUAAAUCAGAAAACUUUCCCAUAACUUAAAAAAAAAUCAUCUGGAGGUGGGCCCGGUGGCUCACGCCUGUAAUCCCAGCACUUUGGGAGGCUGAGGCAGGCAGAUCACCUGAGGUCGGGAAUUUGAGACCAUGUGGAGAAACCCCGUCUCUACUAAAAAUACAAAAUUAGCCUGGCGUGGUGGCGCAUGCCUGUAAUCCAAGCUACACGGGAGGCUGAGGCAGGAGAAUCACUUGAACCCGGGAGGCGGAGGUUGUGGUGAACCGAGAUCGUGCAAUUGCAUUCCAGCCUGGGCAACACGAGCGAAACUCCAUCUCAAAACAAACAAACAAACAAAAAUCACCUGGAUAACUGCCUCCAUUCUUUUUUUGAAGUUCUUAAUAUUAUUAACAUACAGCUGGCUUUGUUUUUCAUUAUCCCAUUUUGCGGAGGAUUGGUUGUGAAUUUAAGGGUGUCACCUCAAACAGGAGGGUAAGUUGCACUUUAAGUGAUGUAAAAUAGUAAGAAGCUAAAAACCUUAAAAAAUGUUUAGUUCUCGGCCGGGCGUCGUGGCUCAUGCCUGUAAUUCCAGCACUUUGGGAGGCUGGGGUGGGCGGAUCACUUGAAGUCAUGAGUUCGAGCUCAGCCUGGCCAAGAAAUUAAAAAAUUAGCUGGGCCUUGUGGUGGGCGCCUGUAAUCUCAGCUACUAGGGAGGCUGAGGUAGGAGAAUCGCUUGAACCCGGGAGGCAGAGGUUGCAGUGAGCCGAGAUCGUGCCACUGCACUCCAGCCUGGGCGACCGAUCAAGACUCCAUCUUAAAAAAAAAUAAUAAGAGGGGCCAGGAGCGGUGGCUCACACCGGUAAUCCCAGCACUUGGGGAGGCCAAGGCGGGCAGAUCACAUCAGGAGUUCGAGACCAGCCUGACCAACAUGGUGGAAGCCCCUCUCUACUGAAAAUACAAAAGUUAGCCGUGCCUGGUGGCAUGCGCCUGUAAUCCCAGCUACUUGGGAGGCUGAGGUGGGAGAAUCCCUUGAACCCGGGAGGCGGAGGUUGCAGUGAGCUGAGAUGGCACCAUUGCACUCCAGCCUGGGCAACAGAACGAGACUCGGUCUCUCAAAAAAAAAAAAAGUUUAGCUCCCUUAAGCCAUUUCUGAUAAUUUAUUCUAAAGAUAAAAUCAAAUGUGGAAUUCAUUUAUAAAGGUAUUUAUUGCUUCAUUUAUAAUGGUGAAAAAAAUAAAAAAUCUCUAUCUCCAAUAGUAAGGAAUUGGUUGUUUAUGAUAUAUCCAUAUGACAAAAUAAUGCAC
rnacentral:lncRNA from 10 species